ensembl:misc_RNA Metazoa_SRP Metazoan signal recognition particle RNA
GCUGGGUGGGGUGGCAUGUGCCUGUAGUCCCAGCUACUUGGGAGGCUGAGGUGGAAGGAUCGCUUGAGCCCAGGAGUUCUGGGCUGUAGUGCGCUAUGCCAGUCGGGCAUCCGCACUAAGUUCGGCAUCAGUAUGGUGACUGCUCAGGAGUGGAGGACCACCAGGUUGCCUAAGGAGGGGUAAACUGGCCCAGGUUGGAAACGGAGCAGUUCAAAACUCCUGUGCUGAUCAGUAGUGGGAACGUACCUGUGAAUAGCCACGGCACUCCAGCCUGGGCAACACAGUAAGACCCCCAUCUCUU